GGCCGGCCAUGGAGCCGGGCACCGGUACCGGGCGAUCCCGGCCGCCGGGACCCAAGGAGCGGGGCUGGAACUACGCUGGGGCUGCUGAAACGGCUCCCCGCAGAAGGAUGUCUUGAAGUGAAGAGGAAGUUAAAGUUUUUGUACUAAGAGCUGGUCUUUCCAGAUUAAUGUGACGCAACUGGGACAGGGAGCAGGUUGCUGUUUGAAGAUGGCCCUAAUGUGAAGGUGUUUAUGCAGAAGACAUCUUGUCUGAGGAAGAAGGAAUCCAACAAAACAUGCGCGUGAGCUUGGGAACUAGUGUUUGUAAACUACCUAUUUUUCUGCCCUAAGAUGUUAAGAAAUGGUAACAGUUACACUGUUUUGAUUACACAUAUAUUAAAAUUCUCUCCAAAAAACCCAACUGGGUGUGGUUUUGUCACUUCACUGCAUUAAGGAAUGACUUUCCAUUCUGCAGCACAUUGUUAAUAAACCUGCUGAGCAUUCCAGUGAUUUGCUAUAAUAUUAUAAAGUAGAUGUAUAUACACUGCAGUAUAACUACUGCAGAUAAUGUAAAGGGGUUUUAGUUUGGUAAGCAUUCUGUCUGGUGUUUGGUAAUUUACUUGCUUUAAACAGUUUAAACAACUGAUACUAAUGCUGCUACUGUAAUUACCGGAGAGAUUAGGCCUGAAAUACCCCUAACAGCAAGAAGAGCAAAUGCAACUUUUUCUGCAGUUUGUUCCAGGCUUGCUAUUUCUUCACUAUUUUGGCCUCAACCUUUCUUAGUCUGCUGCAGAGGUAGCAGAAUCUGUUCCUGCAGCAAUAGCAUUCUAGCUAGUGUUCUGCAUCUCUUCUAAAUAAGGGUCCAAAUGUGCGAAUCUAAAAUUAAACGUGGAGAAAGGGAAGAGAGACUCAUAGUCUGCAACUUGUCAGUGUUCUUCAGUGUCACUACUAAGAGUAAAAAAUGCUGCCUUUGUGAUAAUACCUUAUUCUGAGGUUGGUCUACAAUGGAAGUUGAUAAAUGGAAGUUAAAGGGUUUUGGGGGAAUCUUGGGGACUUAAAAUGGAGGUGCUUAAAUGAGAAAAACAGCAUCUGAGGCUGAAAUUCCCAAUUAGAUUAACUAUGUCAGUAUAACUGGCAGGCUGUAACAUUUCAAUGCUCUUUUUAUAUUUAUAGCAGAGUGUGGAAUGUAAGAGUCUCAUCAAACCUAGACCGAUUGAGCAUGUCUACCAAGACAGACUUAACAAUGCAGAUGUUGCUGAUCAUUUUGCCCACUUGGUGUCACCAAGUGAAAGAUUUUAGAGUAUGCUUUUUGAAAAAGAUAAUGUUGAAAUGGUCUGCCAGCGUUCCUGUGAAGCUGUAUUACCUCCUCAUUACAGAUGAAGAAACUGGAGAUCAGAGCCUUGCUGGGGUGGGUGAGAAAAGGGAAGGCCAAUUUGGUCAGUUGUUGGAUAAAGAAAUUUUACUUAACUGUGUCAAAUCACAUAUUUAUUACCUUCAACCGUAGCAGUAAAUAAUAAAAUCUUUGUGCCGAGUGCUCCUCGGGAUGUGAAAUACAUAGGGUACCUGCUGUGAAGAUGAUGAGAAUUGUUUCAAAGCAAGGUGCAAACUGGGUGCUUUGAAAUGCAUGGUGAUUUCAGAAGGUAAUGGGAAGAGGCUGUACCAAGGUGUGUGCACUUUGAAUUUGAUUUAAUACGUAUCCAGUAAUCUCUAAACCAGCCCGUACGCUUCUGUACUGGGGGAGGAAGAUGCUCUGUGUUUGUAGGAGGCAAUACAAAGCUUUUGUGUUGGCGCCAGGCUGUUUGGUAGUCCAAAACGGGAGACCACAUCAAGGAGAAGGUAUUUCAAAGCUACCGCUUUUAAGCUUCAAAAAGGUCUUUGGAGAUGACAGCAAUGCUGUGUCACUUGGCAGCGUAUCAGCAGCUCAGAGGCUAAAGCUGAGGAAAAAGAAGAGUUUCAGGGAGGAGAGCAGGAUGGAGGCAGCAGCAAUGACACCAAAAUUGUUUGAAGAACUGCUGUGAUACCUGGAGCUGGUUGCAUGGAUCAAGGGACAGCUCUGGUCUGAUGGCUGUCCCAGCUCUGGAUAGCUGUUGGUGAAGUUCAGCCCAUUUUGGGGGUCGAUUUCUCUAGUGGCUGUGUGAAGACUUGUUAGCUUGUGUCUUCGAGAGAGUUUCUGGUACAGAGGGAGGUGGAGAAGGCAGCUCUGCUUCCAGGGGAACUCCUCUCAUGAAGGGAGCAGCAGGUUAAGGUGGUUGGGUUUUCAGAUGGGAUGCUGCAAAAGACGUGAAGUACAUGGAGGAAAUUGGAGAUUGUGGAAGUUAGAGGAAAUGGAUAAAAAGUAAAUAGAAAGUGGCAGUAAAGUUAUACUGUACUUGGGGAAAUUUUUCCCUCCUUAGCAUCUCUGGAGAACAUGUUCAGGAGCCCAGUCGCUGUGGGUGCGGAUUUUUGGUCAGUUCAGAGAGGAUAUUUGUGCAGAACUGUAACUACAACAUAAGAUUUAAACUGUCAGAUGCAGUGGAGACUUUUUCACCAGCCCAUAAGUUCAUCCUUCACAGGCAGGUCUUAUUCCUGAUCUGAGGGAUUAAAAUUGCAUCCAAUCAGUCUGGCAAUUUCCCCCACCCCCCCUACAGCCCCUUGAUAAUCUGAUCACCUGUUAAAAAGCAAGGUCUGCAGGUUGCUGCAAGAAGGGGUGGCUCAAUCUGUGUUGAACAAUGUUAGAGCUUGAAUAAUCUUAUUAAAAGCCUCGAGGCUGCUUGCAGACUGAUGCAGGGCUUGGCUUGAGGUCAGGACAGUUGCUGACCCUUACUGAUUAAAUAGCUGGUGCUCGUUGGGGGCCCCAGGUGAGGCUGUUUACCUCCAUUUCAUUUUAAACAUCCAACCCCAUUUAAUGCUCCCCGAUG